CUUUUCUAUUAGCUUUAACGAUCAUUGAUUAUGUUCAGUGAUUAACGUAGCACGCAAAGUCAUCAUAUAUUAUGAUGUUCAAAGUAAAUACUUCACACUUUGAAGUUUUAGGUGCUUAUGAUUUAUUCCAAUGAUUUUAGAAAAAAAUGGCUGCCCUCUCCAGUCAUGCUUCAAUGAUUCCCUAUAUACUCAACCAUUUUUUUCCAGAAAUAGGGGGCGAGGCUAGCCCCACCCCCUCUUAAUCCGCCUCUGCCUAUAAGUAAAGGAUGAUGAUGAUAAUCAUUAUAAAUGGAUGACUGAUAAACGUCCAGCGGCAAAUUAAUAUGCAUAUUCUGGAAGAAAAUAUUGCUUUGUAUUAUGAAUAUAUUAAUUAAGAAAAAGGACAUGUGGGGUUAGCGCCUAUAAGAUAUCAAUGGACUGCCAGGAAUAACAGAAAAACAAUGCAAAUCGGAGCCUUUAAGAAGAGACAAGUACAAAUAUUGCCAAUUCUAAUUCAUUUCCAAGGCCUUUAAACCUGUAAAUAAUGGAACUCAAUAAAUUACAGAUCUGCAUGAAAUCAACGCCAAAUUCUUCAAAUAAUAUACAUGCAUACAACAGAUCUCAGCCAAUAAUUUUCAGUAAAGAUAUGAAAUAAUCAACACAUUUUAAUCUCUUUAUAAAAGAUUUCAAUUUAAUUAAAAAGUAAACACCGAUAAGAAGUGAGAAGAUGAAGCUGUAAUUCCUUGUUCAGACAUCUUGCUUUGACUUUGUUUCUUUGAUGUAUAAAUAGUACUAAACAUUCUACAAGAAACAUAAUAUACCAUUCGUAUGGAUCGUUACCAGGGGCGGAUCCAGCAAUUUUAAAAAGGGGGGUUCCCAAAUCAGAGAAAAGGGGGUCCAACUAUAUGCUCCCAUUCAAAUGCAUUGAUCGGCCA
rnacentral:lncRNA from 1 species